UCACUCUUAAUUCAGCGGUAGAAUGCCUGACUGUUAAUCAGGAAGUCCCCGGUUCGAAUCCGGGAGAGUGAG
rnacentral:tRNA from 1 species